UGGCCCCAAACCCAAGCAAGCAGUCCCUUCUCCAUUCUCCUAAGAACAAAGGACACAGCAGCUGAGUUUGAGAAAUUACUGAAAAUUUGAAGGCGACACAUGGAAAUUACACCCUAAUGAUAAGUAUUAGCUUUCACCAUCUGCAGAAUCCAUCCAGCAUCAUUGCAUUUUCCCACUGCCAUCUCCCUCCUUAGCUCUAAGCCUUCGCCAGGUGGCUGCAGCCGGGGCCCUCCCUCCUUAUAACCAGUCCGGAGUCCUCCCCUUUUGUGAGCUCACCUCUCCCAUCUCGCUCCAUGAAGACAGCUGAUUACAGGCUAACAACCCAAGCGGGCCCAUCUACAUUGGGAUUCAUCUGCUCACUGCUACUUGCCACGCAUCAGCCUGCAUGCAGUCAUCCUUUCAUUCCAGCAAUAAUCACUGAACAUGUGUUUUGUACCAAGCAUUGUGCUAGGUCAGGACAAAAAAAAAGACAGCAGCAGCCCAGACUGACUAGAAAACCCCUGCCUUCAUGGAGGCGAUAAACAGUAAGCAAGUAAACGAGAAAUUAACUCUGACAAUUACAGAUUUCAAUGCUUUUCAGAUGAUAUGAUAGAGAGGGGUCUCAAGAUGCUGGGAGUGCCAUUAGAAAGGACGGGAAGAGAGGUCUGUCUGAGGAGGUAACCUUGGGAUGAGCUGAGAGCUUUAGCGCUGGACUUCCCACAGCAGGCAGAAGAGAGCACCCAGUCUUUUCAAGGAUUAGAACCUCUAAAGUCUUACUCAGGCCCCAGGAGACACCAGAAAGGGGUGUUCCAGGAAGAAGAAGUGCAAGUACAAAGGUCCUGGGGCGGAAAAGAGCUUGGCCUCUUCUAGAGCUAGGAAGAAGGGACGGCCACCGAGAUAGGAGCUGAAACUGAUGGGCAAGAAUUAACUGGUCUCCAGUGGGAUUAUGAAAACUGGUAUUUUUUAAAGUUCCUCAGGUGAUUCCAGUUUGUAGCCGGGAUGAAGAACCACAGACACGGGGCCUCGCAACCAGUCAGAGAGACAGAAAAGUGAAUGAUGAAGAAUACAGACCCCGGGAUCAGACAAUCUGGCUUUCAAUCCCGUUUCUGCCACCGAGUGGUUGUGUGAUCCAAGGCACAUUACUUAAGCUUUCUGUUCCUCAGUUUCACCACCUGAAAAAUGGGGGCAGCAGGGAACCCACUUUGUAGAGUUGUUUGCAGGAUUAACAAGUUGAGACAUCCAGUGGUCUCAGAAAGCACGAAUUAAGGAUUCAAUGACAUUUACAUUUAACCACUCUGUGUACAUGAUAAUGGCAGCUUGACCCAGGCUGGAGGCACUGGGGGUGAAGAGGAGUCAACAGAGUUAAUUUACAUAUUUGAAAGUAGAACAAACAGGACUUGCUGAAAAAUUGGCUGACAGAGAUGAGGAAAAGGAGGGAAUAAAACAUGGUUUACGUGUUCGGGACUUCAGCCACUGGAGGGCAAAUGGUAACAUUUUGCCAAGACAGAGAAGACUAGAAGAGGAACAAAUUUUGAAGAAAAAAAAAUCCAGAAUUUCAUUUUUUAUGUAUUAAGUUAAAGAUGCUCUUAGAUAUCCAAGCAGAGCUACCUAUUAAACAGCUUAAUAUGUAAUCCUGGAGCAGAGGAAAGACAAAUUUCAGAGUCAUUAACACAUGGGGGGCUGUCCGAUAUGGUAGCCACUAGACACACUUACGAGGUUAUUUAAUUUAAAUCUAUGGUAAUUAAAUUAACAAUUCAGUUCAUCAGGUACUUUUGCCACAUCUCAGGGUGGUAGCUAGCGGCUGCCACAUUGGUCAGCACAGAUCUGGAACAUUUCCAUUGCUACAGAGAGAUGGAUGGGAAAGCACUGAAUCUCAACCCAUGGGAGCACAGGAGAUCAUCUACGAAGUGGUUCGUAAUUCGGUCUCACCCCAGGAAUUCAGAAUCAAUUCAGCUUGGGAAACUUCCAGGCAAGCGUAGUUCGUAAAACCUCUCGGGAUAAUUCUAAAGUGGAGCCAAGGCUGAGAACCACUGACCUAAGGAAAUAAUGUAGGUGGGGAAGCAGGAUCAUGAUAGGGCCCUGGGGGGCUCCAGCAUUAAUGAGAGUGACUCUCAAGCUUAGCUGAACGCCGGAAUCACCGUUAAGCUCUAAGUAUUACAGAUGUCUGCAUCCUGCUUGGAGAGAUUUCCGAUUGAAUUGGUCUGGAGUGCAGCCUGUUCUUCAGAAAUUCUGAAAGCUCCCCAGUGAUUCCACUGUGCACUCAAGGCUGAGAACCACUGACUGAUAGAGAAAGAUGUCGUGAAGGAGAGGUAGGAAGAAGAAACAAAAGCCAUACUCUGAAAAACAGGAAAUGGAGUUCUCCGGUUGCUCAGCAGGUUAAGGUCCCAGCAUUGUCACUGCUGUGGCCCAGGCUACUGCUGGGGUGUCAGUUUGAUUCCUGACCAGGGGAUUUUCACAUGCUGUAGAUACAGCCAAAAAAAAAAAAAAAAACCCAAAAAACAAAAACA